rnacentral:misc_RNA from 1 species
GGUGAAGAACGUAGCGAAAUGCGAUAAGUAAUGUGAAUUGCAGAAUUCAGUGAAUCAUCGAAUCUUUGAACGCACCUUGCGCUCUUUGGUAUUCCGAAGAGCAUGCCUGUUUGAGUGUCAUGAAAAUAUCAACCUUGACUUGGGUUUUGUGCUCUAGUCUCGGCUUGGAAUUGGGUGCUUGCCGCUUUUACGAGCGGCUCACCUUAAAUGUAUUAGCUGGAUCUGUCUUUGAGACUUGGUUUGACUUGGCGUAAUAAGUAUUUCGCUAAGGACAUUCUUCGGAGUGGCCUCGUUUCUAGGACGCUUGUCCGCUUUCCAAUACAAGUUCCACCUCGUGGACAUGACUUUUUAUUAUCUGGCCUCAAAUCAGGUAGGACUACCCGCUGAACUUAAGCAUAUCAAUAAGCGGAGGA